ACCACUGACGUGUAUAGUAUAACUGGACUGCGGAGUUCGAUAGAACUCCAUUCAACGGUUUUGAAGCAACCGCGGCUGAUUUUCUUCCGCCCCAAAAAUGCGGAAAUAUAAUAAUCACCUUGACAACGUUGAGCUACAUUGCUGAUAGGUCGACAUCGCCGGCCAAUCCACAAACAGACACUUCAAGACAUGUCCCGCCCCUCCCACCCGAAUAUGACAUGGCGUCCCCAGCAGAAAUAUUGAACCCACUUUUCAGCUGUGGAACUGGUCGACACAGAAACCCUUGAUUGUCAUAAAAACAGCAACACAAGUUCAAAUGGAACUGGUGAUCGACAAACCAUGGACGCUGAAGAAAGGCUCCUCGACGCCAAGCUGUCAUCCGGAAGAUUGAAGAUGAAGAUUGCCGCGUCGAGCAGUCAUCAUGACCAUUUUUUUGCUGAUCCCCCCCAGUUUUUGAAAAGAUUCAGAAUACAAAAUCACUCUUAGAAGUAGACGGUAUGGUAAACAAACCAAAGUUAACACCUUUCAGUUAGUAAAA